CCUGGGAAAAUGAGGAAGCUUUUAUCCUUUGGGCACAACAGCAAAAUGCAGUUGCAGUUGCUCAUAAGGGAUUGGAUUUGGGCUGUUUCUCCUUUUGGAUGCUUCUGCCCACUGCCCAGUGCCUGUGCACACCCUGGACAAGUCCCGUUUUUCUAAGUCAUAGCACGUCUCUAAUGCAAACACGAAGUGAAAGGAUGCUGGAAGGCCACUGGCCUUUAUGGUUUAUUAAGCUCCUUGUGCAGGCAUAAUUGCAGACUUUGAUAUUUUUUUGAGACUAGACCACUUCACCUCUGUGUUGCACCCCAGAAAGCCCACUAAGACACUACCCCUCCUGAAAAGGGAUGGGAGAAGCAUGGGGGAAAAUACCAGCUUUGCCACUGAAAGAUUCUGUGGUUCUAUUAUUUAAUAAGAGUCACAUUUCUAAACGGCUCUUUAUUAAACCGUCCAAACAUAUCAUCUGCACUGGAGGAUGUAAGGGCUGACACCAGACAAAACCAUCAGAUUGCUCUGAGAAAAUGCACUGGCUUGUCUUGACAAUUUAGGACUCUGUGGAUUACCCUGUUCCUAUUUGCUGUUGAUUUUAAGACUGAAAUUUGCAGUAUGAAAACAGACAUGUCCAAGAAAGCAUUGCUCAGCUUAAACUUAAAAGGACAGAGAUGCAAGAUUACAGCAGAGAGAUGCAGCUCCUGGCUCCCAGCCCUUUCUUAGGAACCAGCUUUCACUUUGCCUUGGGCUUUUGGUCUAUCAGCAUCUAAUGAAAGAUGACAGUGCAGGCUCCCUUAGGGGCUAACGUGGGCAAUUUCAGUUCUGGCAUUUUAAUUUAUCUGUAACCAGCAGUUUUCAAAAGGGUAGAGCUAAAAAAGAACUUGGCUUGGUCACACACACACACACAGACAAAAAAGGGGGAGUUGUGACAUAAAACGCAUGAGGAGGUUUGCUUGGGUUUAACUCCUUGGGCUCCUGCAAGGCAGAUGCUGGAGCCUGGAGCCACGGCUGUGUCUCUUGGCACUGUGGCUGGAUGCUGUUAACCCUAUCCACCAGGAAGCUGGUUUUCCUUUAGGUGAAGUGAGCUCCUCCAUGGUUUAUGGCUGUUGGUUUUAGUGCCGGGCACAUCUACUAUAUUCCUGACAGUUAAGGUCUCGACUUUUCCCAUUUAUUAAUCCCCAAAGUUGCAUUCAGGCACUGUAAUGGCAAAAGGUUAGCUUAGGAUCAGUCGCAGCCAUAAAUCCAGAAUUAAAGGCUGUGGGUUCGUUUCCAAGUCACCCCGUGGUGCCUGGGUGCCGCUGCAGGGGCAGAGCCUGCCGUGGGUAUGAGCACUCACGCACUCGCUCCGUGUGUGCAGCCAGGGGUGAGAGGAGCAGCUCAGCCCCCAGCCCGCACUUCCCAUGGCAUUUUUCCUGCCGGGUUUCCUGAGCUCCCACGUGCCUGGCUGUGCAGAGCUGAGGGUUGUCGUGGCAAGCUCGGUGCUGACGCAGCCGGGGCUGCAGAGCGGCUGCUGAGUGCGCCUGGCACCGGUUCACAUCCGACCCUCAUCAGGAGCUUUUGACUCCACCAUUUAUUUGUUCCCUGGCAUGUUCCACACGCUCUCCAGGCACCUGGCAAACCUCCGGGCACCCGGUACCAUCAGCGAGCUCUUGAAGGAUGAAUCCAACCGAGCCCCCUCUGACCUGCUCUGGGGCUGCAAAAACUUCAUUCGGGAUCAAACAGAGGACCAGGCGAUUCCAGGCACAACUCUAGCAGAUGGUUUUGGUGAUGGAAAGCACAAGGGGAUCACUCCCAGGAGCUGCUCAUGCAGUUAAGUCAAAAAUGAACUGAUGCAUGCAGAGUGCCACGGCCCCAGCCUGGACAGCUCCCAGUGCUCCCCUCUGUACAGGCAGCCUGUGCUGGCUCCAUUUAUGCACCCAGCUUUCUCUGUGCCUGAUCCAAAAUCUGCUGGAAUUGGGGAUCAGCCCUUUCCUGAGCUCCCUGAGCCAGCUGGAGUCAGAGCAAACAGCAUGUGAACCCCAGUUCACCCACCCCGUUGUGAUCCUGCCCGCUGCAGCAUCGCCCUGAUGUCCCAGCACACGCAAACCUGAUUGUGCCAGAGACCAGGAGAUUAUUUCUUUUUAAUGUUUACAUAUUCUAAUGUAAAACCUUCACCUUAUGCCCAUGGCAAACAUUGCCAAAGUUGUGGAGUCAGAAAAGCAAAUCCAUAUUUUGUCAAUAUUAGCCCGAUAAACAAAAUUUGAGAAUUAAAUGCAUUCUGUGCUUAGCAAAUUGAAAUUAAUUUCUGAUACGUGAGAAUUUUCUUUCUUAACAACAUUUCCCUUGUUUUAGUGAGACAAUCUAGUGCUGUAUUAGGAAAUACAAACAUUUUUCAGAAGAACUAUACAUAAUUUAUAGAGAAGCAGGUCUGAAUUAGCUGUAGCAUUGCCCUGAGUUUUCCUACAGUCCAUAGGUCUGGAUCUCAGCUGUGCUCAAGGAUCUGCUCCUUCUCUCUGAUGAAACCCUCUCCCAGAAACAGUUAAACACCAGAAACCAGAAAUGAUCCAUAAAUUAGGUCUGGCUAUAGGUUCAAAAUCAUAAGUUAUGGCCUAUUGACCUCAUACUCUGAGGGGAAAUCAGAAGCAUUUUUCUAAAGAGCCACCACUGGAGGAAGGGAGGUUUAAUAUAUGGCACAGCAGAGCCCUGCUGCAAAUAAAUACAGCACUGCAUAAUUGCAGGGGAAAUCAAUAAAUACCAUGGUGGUUAAAAUAAAGAUAUGCAUUUUGAGGGUUGGGGUUUGUGUGUGUGAACGGUUGUUUCCCCAGAAGCAGAGGAUGAUUUUUUCCUGCAUUAAAGCCUCUAAAAACGACAAAGACAACAGCUCCUGUGCUGCCCCUUUUGCAGGGAGCAAGUUUCAGCUAUCGUGUCCCUCAGAGCAGCUCUGUGAAGUCGUCAUUAUUACCAUAAUUAAUAAGUGCAGUUUGCUCAUUUGAAAGAUUCCAGCGAUGUUUGCCACUCAGGCAUCGCGUCAGUGCGAGACAUAAAAAAUCGCUGUGACAACUGUUCUGCAAGUUCAGGUUUUAUUGACGAGCACCACAAAGCGAUGAAGCCCAGAGCAAGUCCCUUUUCACUUUAAUAUUUAAACCUCUUUUAAGAGGACGUCAAUAUUAACUCCCGUAAUUGAUGCUGACAGGUGACUGCCUGGCCGUAAAAAAGGCAAGCGAUAGAAUUUAAAAAUCCUUAAUAAUAACAACCAGGACUUGCCGGUCAGUGCAGUGAAGGACACUGGGGUGAGGGGAUGAGGUCUCCUGCAUCCCUGAUGCAUCAAAUGAUCCUGGUGAAUCACCCAGGGAUGGAUGGGACCCUUUGGGCUCGGCUGAUUUUGUUCCCCCAGGUAAAUCCCUGGAUCUCCUGGAUGAGAAACUCACCCUUGCUCAGCCUCCAGACCAGCCAAUGCUUUUAAUAAAUAAAUAUCAAUUGCAGCUAGUUAACCUCAGGAUUUCCAGCACUAAAGAGAUUUCCCACAGGAGCCAGAGAGCACUAAAGGAAUGGAUAAAUGCAAAGUUCAUGGGGAAGAGGACACAGCCCUUUGCAAAUCCCAAUGUGAGGGGAAAAUACCCAGAAAGUGCUAUGAGACAGGCUCCAAAAAUAGUUAUUUGCUGGACUAAACUUUCUGAUUUUCAUUAACCUUAUUCUUAGAAAUGAGUGCGUUUUUUCUGUUUAAAAUUUGGGUUAAAAGUAGUUAGAAUUUGGAACAAUGUGAAACCAAGUUUUAAUGUAAAGUUCUUGAUGACCUGAGUAUUGUUUUUUGUCUUUGCUCCAUCUACAAUUCAACCAGAAGGAAUUGCAAAGUGCAUCAAUCUCUUCAUUUAUUUAAAUGGAGAUACAGUUUUGCUGGCUUUGAGUUCUACUAAUAUGCAGAUUAUAGCAUAAACCCAAAACUAGAGUGAUAAUGUUGUUGUUAAAGUGGAUAAAAGUAUUUUGAAUUUUGACUGUUUAUUAACUUUUUGAAAUUGAAGGCAGGGAAAGCACUAAAAUAUCCUGUACACAUUAAAAAGGUGUUCACUACAGGGAAAAAUAUUUCAUUAAUGGAAAAUUGGGAUAUCUAAAAGGAGAGGUUUAAGAAAAAAAUUAUUGGUGACAACAUUGGCUGCAUAGACAGAAACUUUUCUGAAUAAACCCAAGGCACUCCAGUUAAGCUGUUUUAGGUAAUUCCACUCUCACUUUCAUCCUUAAACUAAAACCAGCAAAAUUCCUUCCCAGCACCCCUCUCCCAGCAAACAGGUCCUGCUCCACAGAUAUUUAACCAGGAUAUCCCAGCCAGCACUUUUCUUUAUAUCCUUGAUGGUUUUUGUCUGUACUUUGGGGUUCUUCAGGCAGUUUUUCCUGCUUGCAGAGGAAGAUGCACAGCAGAAGAUUUGGGAUUAAAGAGACAAUAAAAUGUCCCAACCACUGCCGUGUGGCGGAGACCAGGGCACGGAUUUAGUGCUAACAACAGAAAAUAGGAGAGCUUUGUAGCAAUUAAAGCUGAGCAAAACCCACUGAAUGCUGGAGAAAAUAUAGUGGGGAAAAAUCACUGUGGUGUUACGAGUCUAAAAACAAAAAUCAAUAUUCUUAUUGUUCCCUGCAAGAGUCUCACAAGGAGGGAAGAGCCGUGCCCAAGACCCUGUCUGGCUGCAAAAUAAAAGAUUAGCAGUCAGAUCCUUAUCAAAAAUGGGACAGGGAAGCUUUUGUUUAAAAGGCCCACUUGAACCAAAGCUCUCCUGGCUGAUUACUGCUGUUAGGAUUUGAAACUGCUACUAUUGUAUAAUAUAGCAUUUAAAAGAGAUAUGGCUGCUGACAUGAGCUAGUUGGCAGCAAAUAAGUGUGCGUUAAAUAAUUGUAUUAAUUUCUACAAGAAGUAAUACUAAGUUAAAGCUGUAUUUGUGUGCAGAUAUAUGUGUGUGCGUGCACACGUGUGUUAGCAGGUUUCACGCCAAGGAAAGAGGCUGCUGGUGAAAAUUUGGUGAUAAAUGUCUCAGCUUCCUCUUAGAGUUUUUCUUUUCCAUCCUGGCAUCACAAAUAAAAUCUCCUCUGUAUUGUA